rnacentral:rRNA from 1 species
CAGUAGCGCGGGAAUACGAAGGGGGCUAGCGUUGUUCGGAAUUACUGGGCGUAAAGCGCACGUAGGCGGAUAUUUAAGUCAGGGGUGAAAUCCCAGAGCUCAACUCUGGAACUGCCUUUGAUACUGGGUAUCUUGAGUAUGGAAGAGGUGAGUGGAAUUCCGAGUGUAGAGGUGAAAUUCGUAGAUAUUCGGAGGAACACCGGUGGCGAAGGCGGCUCACUGGUCCAUUACUGACGCUGAGGUGCGAAAGCGUGGGGAGCAAACAGGAUUAGAUACCCGGGUAGUCCCUGUCUCUUAUACA